rnacentral:pre_miRNA from 1 species
UUAGUACUCCCUCCGUCUCAAAAUUCUUGUCUUAGAUUUGUCUAAAUACGGAUGUAUCAAGUCACAUUUUAGUAUUAGAUACAUCCAUAUCUAGACAAAUCUAAGACAAGAAUUUUGGGACGGAGGGAGUAGUAA